rnacentral:rRNA from 1 species
GCUUAACACAUGCAAGUCGAACGAAGAUGCCGGAGUGCUUGCACUUUGGCAGACUGAGUGGCGGACGGGUGAGUAACGCGUGGGUAACCUGCCUUAUACAGGGGGAUAACAGUUGGAAACGACUGCUAAUACCGCAUAAGCGCACGGUAUCGCAUGAUACAGUGUGAAAAACUCCGGUGGUAUAAGAUGGACCCGCGUCUGAUUAGCUUGUUGGUGAGGUAACGGCCCACCAAGGCGACGAUCAGUAGCCGGCCUGAGAGGGUGAACGGCCACAUUGGGACUGAGACACGGCCCAAACUCCUACGGGAGGCAGCAGUGGGGAAUAUUGCACAAUGGGGGAAACCCUGAUGCAGCGACGCCGCGUGAGUGAUGAAGUAUUUCGGUAUGUAAAACUCUAUCAGCAGGGAAGAUAAUGACGGUACCUGACUAAGAAGCACCGGCUAAAUACGUG